rnacentral:rRNA from 1 species
UACGUAGGGGGCAAGCGUUGUCCGGAGUUAUUGGGCGUAAAGAGCGUGUAGGCGGCCAUACAGGUCAGCUGUGAAAACUCGAGGCUCAACCUCGAGACGUCGGUUGAAACCGUAUGGCUAGAGUCCGGAAGAGGAGAGUGGAAUUCCCGGUGUAGCGGUGAAAUGCGCAGAUAUCGGGAAGAACACCCGUGGCGAAGGCGGCUCUCUGGGACGGUACUGACGCUGAGGAGCGAAAGCGUGGGGAGCAAACAGG